rnacentral:rRNA from 1 species
UACAGAGGUGGCAAGCGUUGUUCGGAAUUACUGGGCGUAAAGGGCGCGUAGGCGGCCUUCUAAGUCAGACGUGAAAUCCCCCGGCUUAACCUGGGAACUGCGUCUGAUACUGGAAGGCUUGAGUGCGGGAGAGGGAUGUGGAAUUCCAGGUGUAGCGGUGAAAUGCGUAGAUAUCUGGAGGAACACCGGUGGCGAAGGCGGCAUCCUGGACCGACACUGACGCUGAGGCGCGAAAGCUAGGGUAGCGAACAGG